rnacentral:rRNA from 1 species
AUUGAACGCUGGCGGCAGGCCUAACACAUGCAAGUCGAGCGGAUGAAGGGAGCUUGCUCCUGGAUUCAGCGGCGGACGGGUGAGUAAUGCCUAGGAAUCUGCCUGGUAGUGGGGGAUAACGUCCGGAAACGGGCGCUAAUACCGCAUACGUCCUGAGGGAGAAAGUGGGGGAUCUUCGGACCUCACGCUAUCAGAUGAGCCUAGGUCGGAUUAGCUAGUUGGUGGGGUAAAGGCCUACCAAGGCGACGAUCCGUAACUGGUCUGAGAGGAUGAUCAGUCACACUGGAACUGAGACACGGUCCAGACUCCUACGGGAGGCAGCAGUGGGGAAUAUUGGACAAUGGGCGCAAGCCUGAUCCAGCCAUGCCGCGUGUGUGAAGAAGGUCUUCGGAUUGUAAAGCACUUUAGGUUGGGAGGAAGGGCAGUAAGUUAAUACCUUGCUGUUUUGACGUUACCAACAGAAUAAGCACCGGCUAACUUCGUG